rnacentral:lncRNA from 1 species
UUUUGAGUUAAUUUUUAUGUCCUGAGUCAUAUGUCCGGGCCACAAUGCAGACUGAGUAGGAGAGGAUUUAGAACCAGAACAUAGAGUGCACACAGGUCGCCAUAGACACAGAUGCGCAUCACACUUGGAGAAGUGACUUACCCUAUAACCUUGACUAUUCUCACCUGUAAAACAUGGAGUAUGAUUGUGUGUUAAUACUUUCAAUCUCAAAGGACUGUGACGACUGAGAGAAAGAGAAAUCAAUCCAAGAGCAACAAAAAUAAAUUUCAGACUAGAUUCAAAAUGCUGCUUGCUCUGCCUGUGACAGCUUUCCCCAGCUUCCACCUCUCCAGUCAAAAGUUUUAAAGAAGGAAGACUACCUCCAAAGAACAAGGAAUGCAGUACCAGUGCCCGUUUUUAUGAGUGAAUCUCAAGUGGAAGGUGACAGACAGCAGAACAAACACUAUAAAGCAUAGUGGCUAAGAAGACAAGCUUUGGAAUCCAGCAGGGCAGCAUUCAAAUUCGGCUUCUCUCAUUUAUUCCCUGGGACGACUCCUCCGCAGUGGACACUUGCAGCAGCAAAAAUGCUUCAGAAACAUGGGGAAGUUAUUCAGGAGCAAUCUUCAACCAGUGAAAAGUUGUGCCGUCACAGUCUUCAUUGCUUUGGUGGAUCUGUGUCCACUUGUGACAAGAGCAGUUGUUUAAGAAAGAUGAGCAUUGAGUGUCAGUAUCAGAAGACAAGAGGAGAGCUCUACAGUCUGGAUUGCCGAUGGUCUAAAGUCAAGUUGGUUUCGUGGAUUCCAUAUGAGCUGCAGGUGACUGUAACACAGAUUGAUGAAAGAUUCUGCAGGACGACAAAGGUUAAAGAUGCGGACCCGGAGCUGGAAGCCAGUGCUGACACUGAUGGAGUGCAGCGCAAUGAGAAUGCCCACAUUACUGUCCGCUCCUCUGAUAACCAAUGUAAUAUGAAAACUGACUACAGAAGAAAGGAACAAAUUAAAUCCAUUAAUCAAGCAUAUCUCUGCUAAACAGUUGUUCUAAAGAGAUGAACAAAUGAAAAAUUUACUGUUUGUU